AUUUCAUUUCAAGGAGAGCAGCUGAAGACAUUUGCUCAAAUCUACCUUGCUUAAUCCCUGUUUGGCACAACUGAGAUAUCCAGUGACAUUUCCACCUCCCUGCGGAACUGGAAUGCUAAAGAUCUAGAUGGCUGGAUGCAUACAGGGAGGAAAUCAUGACCUUCCAUGAUGGGAAAAGUUGUCUUCUCUCAUGUGGUCUGGGAAGGAGGUGAUAUGUAAGUAAAUCUGAGAACUGGAGAUGAUGAUGCCAAACAGAAUAUUAAUAAAAACUCCUUACUCCUGCUUCUACCAUAUCUCUGGAUGUAAAGAAGAGAAUUUAGCUGCAUACCAGUUGCUGAGGACUACUCCCUACUGCGAAAUGUUAUAGACAAGAAGUUGCCAGGCAAAGAGUGCAUCUCAAGAAUGGUGUGGGAUUUGGUUCAAGCUCAAUAAAUUCAACAACAAAUACCGGAUCUUCAGCUGGUGUAAAUUUCACACAUUACUACAAAAGCAGCCGCUGCCUUUCACGGUGGGAAUUUUCCUGGUAUCUUGGGUAUACACAUUUUGCAAGUGAUGGACUGUCCACCUCUGUAACUUUGAAAAUGAUGCUUUGCUUUUUUCCAUGCUUUCCAUGCUAGUGUCCAUAAUCUCAGUAGCACUUUUCUCCUCCUUUUUAUUCUCUUUGUUGUUGAUCAGUAGAAUGAUUAUUUGUACAGACAUUUUCCAGAAAUACAUGACCAAAUCUUGCCUGCAGCAUUGGAGAAAAACUUGGUCCAUGUGCCAAGAUGGGGCCAAAAAAGCACAGCACAAGAUGUGUUUGAUUUUCUUUUAGGAAAUCAUAGUAUUUGCAACAAUCUGGCCCUCCCUGCCAAAAUAAUCCAACCCUCUUUCAAUAUUUGCCAGGAAAGCUAGACCAAUAUAUCAAUCUUUAAUUAUAGAAAACCAUGUCUGAGUACAGGAAAAAAGGAAGUUUUAAUUCUCUCCAAGGCAUUGAUUUCUUUUGCAGCCUCUGAGAAGUCAAUCAACCUGCUUGACCCUGUGGUGGCCACUUAUUCAUAAUAUAGGUGAUGCAGGAAGGGCUGAUGGGGCAAAGUUUAUAUGUGGGUUGUCCAUGGCUUGAAUGAAGUGCUUCUAUGAGGGACUGACUUAAUAAAGAGCUAGCUCACCUUUGCAGGCUUGGAAUUGUGCAAGAACUCCUCAGAAAAGCUCUCUUAUUUUACACAGAAAUGAUUUGUUCUACUCACAAGCAUAUUUCUUCCUUAGGAAGAUAUCUUUAGGAUUAGGCUCUCUGAAGUGCAACAAAGACAAGUUGCACUUUCUAAAGGCUCUGACAUAUGUAAAAGGUUUUUCUGAAAUUUGGCCAUUUAAAUUAUUUUAAAAGUCUUCUUGUUAACAAAUUGAGCCACAAAUAAGAGCUAAUGGUAUCCAAACAUGUGGUUUUGCUCCACAGUGAUUACCUUAUUGCAUUAUCUAUGUCAAGGAAAAGCUCUCAUGUUCAUGAUGCAUAUUUUCUGCACGAUUCAUGAUUGCUGUGCUCAGCCCUGUGCAGUUAGAGGCUUCUGAAGACCCAUCCAGCUCUGCUCUCUGCUCUUCUGUGGUGGCCACAGAAAUUUCUUCCUCUUUAUGACAGGAAAAAAUAGAAAGAAACUAUGACGAUUUCUGAAAGAUGAAGAUCAGUAGCUGCUACCUGUUGUACCCUGCCAAGGUAUACAGCUUACGAGUGGCACCCUACUGUUCUGGGUGUAUUUGAUCUGCAUCAAGCAUUGUCUCAUUGUCUCAUUGACAGGAUUCCCUGACAGAGAAAGUAUGCCAGGUUUGCUGAGUCCUGGGAAGAUAGAUGAUACCAGUUGUGCUGGUUCAUCAGUACAAUGUCAGGUCCAGAGGAAUGCAAGCCAGAGGGAUUCAUGAUCUGUUCUUGGUAAAAUCAAGCCCCACUCAAGCUUUCUAAGGAAAUUAUGAACAAGUAGGUUGAUUUUAUACCAGGUCAGCUCUUUACAUUUUGCAGGUGUGACUUAAUACUCAGACUUCAGAAGCUGAAUUUGCAAUACCAUCUAACCGCAGCUCCAAGAGAAGUUUAUAACCCUCUCCCCGUGUCAUCUCUAUUGACCUCAAAAUGAAACUCUUAUUUGCCAUACUUUGUGGAUUAUGGAGCCCUCUAAUGUCAGGAAGCUGCACUGGGUGAAAUGUGUCCUCUCCUCUGAGCUCAUUCAAGUUGUGGAUACUGUCAGAUUCAUUACUCUGCUUUAAAACACAGGAUAGUAUACUUUAUGAAUGAAAGACAUGUAUUAUGUAUGCUAGCACACUUCCAAAUUGUGCUCCUGUUUACACUCUGAAAUCUGCUGACUACAGUGGUACAUAAUCAGGACAGAACUCAUCAUUGUUUCUUUAGGAAAUUCAUAUUUUUCUUGUUAGAGAUGUUUUUGCUGCAGUAGUGACAUACAUAGCUCCAUCAAGUUCUGAUCAGAAAAUGGAGUAAAUAAGCAGUUGCAUUACAAUUUCCUUCUCAGAACAGAUACAAAGCAGAUUUCUGGAAAAGGGCAGUAAGUUAAAGUUAGAAAUAAAAUCCUGCCAAACCCUGAAAGCUGAGCAAAAUAUGUUACCAAAGAAACCAAAAAUACAAAAAGAGAGACAAGUCACUGAACCUCAGACAUUGCCCACUUUCUAAAAGCCAAAGUAAUCUAUAUUAAUAGAGAGCUUAGCACGUAGCAAUGACAAAAUCUGUAUUAAAUGGCAUAAAAAAGCCAGUCUAAUUUUCCAUGACCCUACAUAAGCCUAGUAAUACUCAUUAGUGUCUACAUAAAUUUGUUAAACCUUCUUAGCAUUGAGGAAACAUGACUUCUUUCAAUUUGGAUUUGUUUGCAGCUAAAACUUUCAAACACUGUCGCUUUCAUGGGGGUGAUAAUAACUUAUAUUUGAGGAUUAAGGAAACACAUUAUAUAUUCCACAUCUCAGUCAAAGUAACUAAACAGUGUGACCUACCACCUUUCUCAAAGCAAUCAAAUGGACAAAUCUCUGCCCUUUAAAGUAAACAGGCUUGCCUGUAAGACAACCAUUCUGAAAUUCAUAAUCAAGUGAAAAAUUAGAUGAAUGCAAGUGAGGUUAUGAGUUGAUGCAGCUUGAUUGUAACAAGAGGGCCAUUAAUAGUUAUUAAUGAUAAGUGGGAUAAACUGUCAGAUAUCAUCCAUGUGUAACUAGGUAGACAUGAACGAACGAUUAAUAAACGUGUCCUAAAGAAAAAGA